rnacentral:lncRNA from 10 species
GGACAAUCUGAGAUGAUUAGUCACCCUAGGUGGGGGACAUCUGGAGAAAGAACAGAAGGGGAAAAGGUGUCUACAGAGGCAAGCCACCCAACAGCUGCUCGAAGAUUUUCCCUGUUGUGGGAAUUGGAUUUGCACCCUCCAUCAGCAAGUUCCUGCUCAUCAUGCCUGGCAACUACAGACAGCUGGCCAGCAGGGAAAGUACUGGGAGAAAAAGUUAAUAGCCUAGAAAGGAACCGAAGUCCAUCAACACAGCAGCCUCUCUAAUUGAGCUGAUAAGCCAUUGGCAGGGAUCAGCAAAACCUUUGGCAGGAUCAGAUGUAAUGACAAUCUACAGUCAUGUACCAUACGACCAAGGUUCUUGACUUUUGCAGCUCUGACGUUGGCACUUCCACUAUGUAGUAAUAAUGAUGAGAGCUCAGGUUUCAUGUGCACUUACUCUAUAUUGGAUAUAGUAGUUUAGACACUUAGUUCAUGUCUUGUCCAAAACAAAGCAGCUAAUAAUUUGCAGAGCCUGGCUCAAAAUGGCUCUUAGUCUGUUUUUAUUUUUAUAUUUUAAUGAUACUAUUUAUCUGCAUAAACUUAAGACACUGUAAAGGUAAUUGAUAUCUUUUUUGGUAUCUUUUUGUAUUUUUUAAGUUGACAAUAAUUGUAUAUAUUUAUGGCAUACAACAUGAUGCUUUGAAGUAUGUAUAUAUUGUAAAAUGGCUACAUUGAGCAAAUCAACAUAUUCAUUACUUCAUAUACUUUUUUUGGUGAUGAAAACACAAAAUCUACUCUCUUCGAGGUUCUCAAGUAUACAAUGCACUAUUUUAACUAUUGUCACCAUGUCGUAC